rnacentral:rRNA from 1 species
UACGUAGGGGGGCGAGCGUUGUCCGGAAUUAUUGGGCGUAAAGAGCGUGUAGGCUGUUCGGUAAGUCUGCCGUGAAAACCUGAGGCUCAACCUCGGGCGUGCGGUGGAUACUGCCGGGCUAGAGGACGGUAGAGGCGAGUGGAAUUCCCGGUGUAGCGGUGAAAAUGCGCAGAUAUCGGGAGGAACACCAGUGGCGAAGGCGGCACUCUGGGCCAGUACUGACACUGAGGAGCGAAAAGCGUGGGGGAGCGAACAGG